GCAAAGGAACGCUCGGGCCCUUCAGGAGCGAAACGAACAAUUGGAGCAGGAGUGUGCCUGGCUUACAGAAUCCUUGAGGGUUCAUGAAGCUGGAGCGAUAUCCUUUGCUGUGGAACGGUCAGAUCAUGAAGUCUUGCAACAGAAGCUGCAGAGCCGCUACAAGUCUUUGAAUAAAAAGUAACAAGGUGAGUAAUGUCCAUGCUCUGAGUAAGUCCGACUGUAGUCGGUUGUUUGAACUUGGUCAUUUUUGCAGAGCUCAAGAGGAAGGAGGCUCCUGCGAGUAGCCAACUCCUUGACUGGA
rnacentral:lncRNA from 1 species